rnacentral:rRNA from 1 species
AGCUUACUUUACGUUCAUCCUGCCCAGUGAAAUAUUUUUAACGGCCGCGGUACCCUAACCGUGCAAAGGUAGCAUAAUCAUUUGCCUUUUAAUUGUAGGCUAGAAUGAACGGAUAAACGUAAUUCUCUCUGUAUCAUUUUUAUUAAAUAAAAAUUAGACUUCAGGUGAAGAUACCUGAAUUUUUUUGAAAGACAAGAAGACCCUAUAGAGUUUUAGUAAACAACUCCUCCACACUCAUAUUACUUUGGUUGGGGCGACCUAGGAUUAAUAAAAACAUCCUUACAUAAAAAGAAUAUUUUAAUUCAUAAAAAAGACCCUGUUCUUCAGAUUUUUAAAAUUAACUACCUUAGGGAUAACAGGCUUAUCUUCCUAAAGAGUCCAAAUUGACAGGAAGGUCUGGCACCUCGAUGUUGGCUUAGAGUAACCCACUAAUGCAGAAGUUAGUACUGGUCGGUUUGUUCAACCGUUAAAUCUCU